UACGUAGGGUCCAAGCGUUAUCCGGAAUCACUGGGCGUAAAGCGUGCGUAGGUGGCGCGUUAAGUGAGAUGUUAAAUCGUGUGGCUCAACCAUAUCGAUGCAUCUCAUACUGGCGUGCUAGAGGACAGCAGAGGCAAGUGGAAUUUGUAGUGUAGCAGUGAAAUGCGUAGAUAUUACAAGGAACACCAAUGGCGAAGGCAGCUUGCUGGGCUGACACUGACGCUGAUGCGCGAAAGCCAGGGGAGCGAACGGG
rnacentral:rRNA from 1 species